rnacentral:rRNA from 1 species
AACGAACGCUGGCGGCAGGCCUAACACAUGCAAGUCGAGCGAGGACUUCGGUCCUAGCGGCGGACGGGUGAGUAACGCGUGGGAACGUGCCCCUUUCUACGGAAUAGCCCCGGGAAGCUGGGAGUAAUACCGUAUAAGCCCUACGGGGGAAAGAUUUAUCGGGAAGGGAUCGGCCCGCGUUGGAUUAGGUAGUUGGUGGGGUAAUGGCCUACCAAGCCGACGAUCCAUAGCUGGUUUGAGAGGAUGAUCAGCCACACUGGGACUGAGACACGGCCCAGACUCCUACGGGAGGCAGCAGUGGGGAAUCUUAGACAAUGGGCGCAAGCCUGAUCUAGCCAUGCCGCGUGAGCGAUGAAGGCCUUAGGGUUGUAAAGCUCUUUCAGGGGGGAAGAUAAUGACUGUACCCCCAGAAGAAGCCCCGGCUAACUCCGUG